AAUGCUUGAUUGUUGGGAUAAAUGCACACCUGAAUUUCUUAUUAGGCCGAUACAUGCAUAUCCAUGACUACAUAACCUCAUAUAUGCAUGCUAUCUUUGGAUGUUCAGGCUUAAGACCAAAAAGAUUCCAUGCUGAAAUUAACCAAUUUGUUAAUGGACUGGAUAAAGUGGCUUUGUUGCACAAAGAGAUCCUCCAUGCACCUGAAGCAUUUUCUAGUCUGUUUGUUCAUCAAGCUGUUCAUCUAAAGUUUGACACAUUCAGAUUAUUGUAUGAAGUGAACUUCAGUCCAGAGGGUUCCAAUAACCAAAGGUUGGAGAAGGAUACAGUAUACUGCUUGGAGGCAUUCUUGAUUGAAUGUGAUGCUCUGAAGAACAGCUGCUGUCGAGCAUUAUAGAUCUUUGCAGGCAAAAGAUAUGCUUUGUUAUUCAGAGUAUAGAGAAUGGACGUACUCUAAACAGUACAACAGAACUACAAUAUGUUUUAUCAGACUUGUUACAGUUGUCCCGAUUUGUUUGUGUUGAUAACUGUAUACAGUUUGUUGAUGAAGCACUUCAGAUCUUGGUCCAGUUACAGCCUGAAAACAGCAUUUCUGAAAUAGAAAUGUUGGUAAAACAAGGAAGAAAAUAUGAUAUUCCAUUUCAAAUGCUACAGUGUCUAAUAAACUCUGGACUGAAAGUUAGAGACAUUUCAGAGUUGCUGAAUGUAAGUAAGAGGACAGUUGAAAGAAGAAUGGAAGAGUAUAAUCUAUCAGUCCGUCAGACUUAUAGCAACUUGUCUGAUGAGGAAAUAAAGCUGGAAGUUCAACAGCUCUCUGCCAGUUUUCCAAAUGUUGGAUAUAGAACUAUUCAAAGUCUUCUUCUUUCAAAAGGUUUGAAAAUACAGGAACAUAAAGUACGACAUGCUUUAAGAGAGUGUGAUCCUUGUGGAGUGCUCUUUCGCAGAGUAUUUCUGACAUCUUCUAGAAUACAGAGAAGAACAUACUCAGUUAGUGGUCCUCAAGCACUGUGGCAUAUUGACGGAAAUCACAAAUUGAUAAGAGGCUGUUAACAAGUUUGGAAAGCCAGCAAGGGUCAGGUCUGACAAAGGUGGUGAAAAUGUCUUAGUGGCAGAGUACAUGCUUCAGCAUCAACAAUCAGUUGAUAGACCAUUCAUUGCAGGGAGAUCUGUACAUAAUCAAAGAAUUGAACGGUUAUGGAGGGAAGUGUGGGCUGGUGUUACAAGUUUGUACUACACAUUAUUCUACAGCAUGGAAAACAACAGUAUUCUGGAUCCGACAAACAGAAACACAUUUAAUGUAGCUACACCUUGUGUUUCUUCAUAGAAUACAAGCUCAUUUAGACAGAUUUACCUGAAGCACUGAGGCGGCGUCCACUUAGAACAGAGAACAACAGAACUCCUUUGCAACUUUGGUUGACCAGUAAUCAUGCAACGAGUAUGGAUCAGGACAGUACAAAUGAUUAUGGUAUUGACUACAACCCAGGGGCGUUAAUAACUCAUCCAGAAUCAGUAGUUGUUCCAGACAGCAUGGAAAUCACAGAAAAUCAGAAACAACAGUUACAACAUAUACUUCAGAAAGACUCGAACAAUUUUGGUGUUGAUAUCUACCAAGAAAUAUUGGAAUAUUGGACUGUCAAUAACUUAUAACUAUAUUUUAGAAAAAAGGUGCAAGGAAAAUACAAAAAGUGAAGAAAACUACUUUUUUGCAUUUUUAGUCCACCAUCUACAAUGUACCAGAUGGUGGGUUAGUCAAAUCGCUUUUCAUCCGUGGUCCAUGCAUCCGUCACUCCGUCCUUCCGUUAACAAUUCUUGUUAUUGCAUCUCCUCUGAAUCCACCAUGUGGAUUUUGACAAAACUUGGCCUAAAUGAUCCCCCUGUGCCUUAGUUGGUCCUAACUGAGAAUGAGGUCACUAGGUCAAAGUUCAAGGUCACAGUGACCUUCAACUUUGCACCUACUUUGAAACUACUGAGUGGAUUUCAAUGAAACUUGGUCACAAUGAUCCUUACUCAAAAUGAGAUCAGUAGCUCAAAGGUCAAUGUCACAGUGACCUUCAGUUAAAUUUUUGGAAAAAUUGUUAUCACAUCUCCUCUGAAACAAAUGGGUGGAUUUUAAUCAAACUUAGCCAAAAUGAUCCCCCAUUUCCCUAGUUGGUCUUAACUGAAAAUGAGGUCACUAUGUUAAAGGUCAAGGUCACAGUGACCCUUAACUUAAAUUUUUG
rnacentral:misc_RNA from 1 species